AGGUCUGUGUGUGCUCUUGGAGUUUAUGGACAGGGAGUCAUAAGAGCUGAGAGCUGUUGUACUUCUGCCGGACCUCAAGUAUCUUCCACCUUGCUCCAGCUACGGACUCUAGCAGUGGUUGCUUCAGUUUUGGCUCUUUGAUGGCUCUUGGCACUAUUGACACCAAUCUAUGAGCACAUGGAAGCAUGUAGAUGGUUUGGAGGAUUAAUCAGAGAUCAGAUUUAGUUGGAGUGAUCCUAGUUGGGACUUGGAUAUGGGAUGAUCAUCACGACGUGGGAUUUAUUCUGGACACGGUCGACAAAUUAA